CCUACGGGAGGCAGCAGUGAGGAAUAUUGGUCAAUGGCCGAGAGUCUGAACCAGCCAAGUCGCGUGAAGGAAGACGGCCCUACGGGUUGUAAACUUCUUUUGUCGGGGAGUAAAGCGAACCACGUGUGGCUCAUUGAGAGUACCCUAAGAAAAAGCAUCGGCUAACUCCGUGCCAGCAGCCGCGGUAAUACGGAGGAUUCGAGCGUUAUCCGGAUUUAUUGGGUUUAAAGGGUGCGUAGGCGGGUGGUCAAGGUAGGGGUGAAAUUCCGGGGGCCAACCCCGGAACUGCUGUUGAAACUGGAAGCCUUGAGUGCGGGAGAGGUAGGCGGAAUGCGUGGUGUAGCGGUGAAAUGCAUAGAGAUCACGCAGAACUCCGAUUGCGAAGGCAGCAUACCGGCGCGCCACUGACGCUCAGGCACGAAAGCGUGGGUAUCGAACAGGAUUAGAUACCCGUGUAGUC
rnacentral:rRNA from 1 species